GAUGAACGCUGGCGGCGUGCCUAAUACAUGCAAGUCGAGCGAACAGACGAGGAGCUUGCUCCUCUGACGUUAGCGGCGGACGGGUGAGUAACACGUGGAUAACCUACCUAUAAGACUGGGAUAACUUCGGGAAACCGGAGCUAAUACCGGAUAAUAUAUUGAACCGCAUGGUUCAAUAGUGAAAGACGGUUUUGCUGUCACUUAUAGAUGGAUCCGCGCCGCAUUAGCUAGUUGGUAAGGUAACGGCUUACCACGGCGACGAUGCGUAGCCGACCUGAGAGGGUGAUCGGCCACACUGGAACUGAGACACGGUCAAGACUCCUACGGGAGGCAGCAGUAGGGAAUCUUCCGCAAUGGGCGAAAGCCUGACGGAGCAACGCCGCGUGAGUGAUGAAGGUCUUCGGAUCGUAAAACUCUGUUAUUAGGGAAGAACAAAUGUGUAAGUAACUAUGCACGUCUUGACGGUACCUAAUCAGAAAGCCACGGCUAACUACGUG
rnacentral:rRNA from 1 species